GCACGGGUAUCCUACUAUAACAUGCAGUCGAGCGAAAGAUAAGGAGCUUGCUCCUUUGACGUUAGCGGCGGACGGGUGAGUAACACGUGGGUAACCUACCUAUAAGACUGGGAUAACUUCGGGAAACCGGAGCUAAUACCGGAUAACAUUUGGAACCGCAUGGUUCUAAAGUGAAAGAUGGUUUUGCUAUCACUUAUAGAUGGACCCGCGCCGUAUUAGCUAGUUGGUAAGGUAACGGCUUACCAAGGCGACGAUACGUAGCCGACCUGAGAGGGUGAUCGGCCACACUGGAACUGAGACACGGUCCAGACUCCUACGGGAGGCAGCAGUAGGGAAUCUUCCGCAAUGGGCGAAAGCCUGACGGAGCAACGCCGCGUGAGUGAUGAAGGGUUUCGGCUCGUAAAACUCUGUUAUUAGGGAAGAACAAAUGUGUAAGUAACUGUGCACGUCUUGACGGUACCUAAUCAGAAAGCCACGGCUAACUACGUGCCAGCAGCCGCGGUAAUACGUAGGUGGCAAGCGUUAUCCGGAAUUAUUGGGCGUAAAGCGCGCGUAGGCGGUUUCUUAAGUCUGAUGUGAAAGCCCACGGCUCAACCGUGGAGGGUCAUUGGAAACUGGGAAACUUGAGUGCAGAAGAGGAAAGUGGAAUUCCAUGUGUAGCGGUGAAAUGCGCAGAGAUAUGGAGGAACACCAGUGGCGAAGGCGACUUUCUGGUCUGUAACUGACGCUGAUGUGCGAAAGCGUGGGGAUCAAACAGGAUUAGAUACCCUGGUAGUCCACGCCGUAAACGAUGAGUGCUAAGUGUUAAGGGGGUUUCCGCCCCUUAGUGCUGCAGCUAACGCAUUAAGCACUCCGCCUGGGGGAGUACGACCGCAAGGUUGAAACUCAAAGGAAUUGACGGGGACCCGCACAAGCGGUGGAGCAUGUGGUUUAAUUCGAAGCAACGCGAAGAACCUUACCAAAUCUUGACAUCCUUUGAAAACUCUAGAGAUAGAGCUUUCCCCUUCGGGGGACAAAGUGACAGGUGGUGCAUGGUUGUCGUCAGCUCGUGUCGUGAGAUGUUGGGUUAAGUCCCGCAACGAGCGCAACCCUUAAGCUUAGUUGCCAUCAUUAAGUUGGGCACUCUAGGUUGACUGCCGUGACAAACCGGAGGAAAGGUGGGGAUGACGUCAAAUCAUCAUGCCCCUUAUGAUUUGGGCUACACACGUGCUACAAUGGACAAUACAAAGGGCAGCUAAACCGCGAGGGCAUGCAAAUCCCAUAAAGUUGUUUCCAGUUCGGAUUGUAGCCUGCACUCGGCCUCCUGAAACUGGGAUCCCUAGAAACCGAAAAACCAUGGUCCGGGGAAUACUUUCCCGGGUUUGGACACCCCCCCGUCACCCCGAAAUUUGUACCCCCCACCCGGGGGGAACCUUU
rnacentral:rRNA from 1 species